ensembl:lncRNA
CCGGGCAUCUCCCGCCGCCGGUCCCCGCGGCGCUCCUCGGGCAGCGGUCAGCGCACGGAGAGGCAGCGUGAGAUGCGGAGAGCCGAGUGCCCCCUUAAUUAAAAAAAAUAAUAAUAACGAUAAUAAAAUAAAAUCGGACGGAAAAAAAAAAAAAAGAAAAAGUAGAAAAAAAAUUAAAAGCGUCUCAGUUUUUAAAGCAGAACUACAUAAUGUAUUAAUUGGUCGCUAUUAGCAUGCAGUUUUAUUGAGCGUAGCACACAGAAGUCUGAUUGUGAGCGAGGAGUGUUUUCAAUGAAAGUGGAGUUAUUUUAGCUGCAGACAUGUUUACAUUUCUGUGGUUUAGUCUAUAACUUUCUCUUUUUCUUGCUUCAGAAUUCUGCUCCAUGAAGCAAAGCCCUUAGCUCCCAGACAUUCCAAAAAGUCUGCCAAAAUAAUAGGGGGAAAAAAAAAAAAAAGGAGGAGAAAUAGAAAAAAACACACACACACACACACACAGAGACCCCCAAGUCUGGGUCAGGCCCAGGGCUGGAUAUGGGCAGAGUGAGCAUUACCCCCUCCUCACUCUCUCUGCAGCUAAAAAGCCUUCAGGGCUCCAUUUCCUGUUUUUAAGGAAAAAAUAAAGCGGGUCUAGGGCUGAUUUUAGACACUGCCUAAACCAGGGCUGGUGGGUGCUGAGGACCUUUAACUCUCUCCGUGCCAAAGGGUCCCCUAUAUACAGACCGCACGCUUUUCCCCUCUGGGAGCACGACGGCUUUGGACCACACUGUGCCUUUUUGAAUGCCUAAAUCAUGACCGAAAGAGAGUACCUACACAGCACCUCUUACACAGUUCUGGAAGAAUGAAACUUCCAGGUGCUUCUGCAGGUGAAGACCAGGCCUUCAGAUGCCGCCUCUUGGUAAGAAAUGGAAAGGACAAAGUGUUCACAUCACUCUCCACCUCCUCAAACACGGUUUUCAAAAUACAGGAUUGAAAUGAACAAUCGAAAAGACUGAAUUUUCACAACUGGAAGAUGAAAAAACAUAACCAGCUCUUUUCCUAUGAGUCCUGUGGACCUAUGAAAAUGCAUUUGUCAUUGUCAUGGAUAACUUGCAGUCUCUCAUGUCAGCACACCUGUCAUCUCCUUGCUGAGGUCUGGACCCUUCAGUGGUGCAGAGCUUGCUGGGGUGAACCUGGGUGCCACAGGCUGCAAGAGGGCAAUGGUGGUGCCACUGUAGGUAAAAACUGGACCAGGGAUCCACAUACAUCUCAUGUUUCAUCAGUGUACCGUAAGAGCCAGAUUACCUACACACCGGUAGCUGAA